rnacentral:tRNA from 1 species
AAGAGGGUGGCAGAUUGGUAUGCGGUUGACUUGAAAUUA